AUUGAACGCUGGCGGCGGGCCUAACACAUGCAAGUCGAACGAGUGGCAGGCGGGUGAAUUAUGUCUGUGACACUGCCUGCUGGAUGGGGUUAACUACUGGAAACGGUAGCUAAUACCGCAUACCAUCAGAUGGGCCCAGCUGGGUUUGGCUAGUUGGUGGGGUAACGGCUCACCAAGGCGGCGAGCCCUAGCUGGUCUGAGAGGAUGACCAGUAACACGGGAACUGAGACACGGUCCAGACCCCUACGGGAGGCAGCAGUGGGGAGUGGUGCACAAUGGGCGCAAGCCGAAUGCCUGCAGGCGGCGUGUAUGAAGAGGGCUUUAGGGUUUUAAAGUAUUAUCAUCUGGGAGGGGGUACCUGCAGAAGAAGCACCGGCUAACUCCGUGCCAGCAGCCGCGGUAAUUC
rnacentral:rRNA from 1 species